rnacentral:rRNA from 1 species
AAGGCCCCUUCGGGGGUACUCGAGCGGCGAACGGGUGAGUAACACGUGAGCAACCUGCCCCUGACUUUGGGAUAAGCCUGGGAAACUGGGUCUAAUACCGGAUAUGACCAUUCUGCGCAUGUGGGGUGGUGGAAAGUUUUUCGGUCAGGGUUGGGCUCGCGGCCUAUCAGCUUGUUGGUGGGGUGAUGGCCUACCAAGGCGACGACGGGUAACCGGCCUGAGAGGGCGACCGGUCACACUGGGACUGAGACACGGCCCAGACUCCUACGGGAGGCAGCAGUGGGGAAUAUUGCGCAAUGGGCGGAAGCCUGACGCAGCGACGCCGCGUGGGGGAUGACGGCCUUCGGGUUGUAAACCUCUUUCAGCAGGGACGAAGCUUACGUGACGGUACCUGCAGAAGAAGCGCCGGCUAACUACGUGCCAGCAGCCGCGGUAAUACGUAGGGCGCAAGCGUUGUCCGGAAUUAUUGGGCGUAAAGAGCUCGUAGGCGGUUUGUCGCGUCUGUCGUGAAAGCCCACGGCUUAACCGUGGGUCUGCGGUGGAUACGGGCAGACUAGAGGCAGGUAGGGGAGAAUGGAAUUCCCGGUGUAGCGGUGAAAUG